UUUCAGUUUAGAACUUCCUCAUUUACACACCCGCCUCACAAAAAGACAGGGGACCACAUGAGUCAGAAAGCAGCUUGCCUUCAGAGAAGCUUCUUUCAACAAGGACACUGAAACACACCUAAAAUCUAGCUUCCUUUGAUUUUUUUUGUUUUGUUUUUAAUCUUUUAAAAGUCACAGGAUAUAAAAUCAACACACAAAAAUCUAUUGCAUUUCAAUACACCAAUAAUGAAGCAGCAGAAAGAGAAAUCAAGGAAUCGAUCCCAUUUAUAAAUGAACCAAAAACCAUAAGAUACCUAGGAAUAAGCCUAACCAAAGAGGUGAAAUAUCUAUGCACUGAAAACUAUAGAAAGCUUAUGAAUGGAAUUGAAGAAGACACAGAAAAAUGGAAAAACAUUCUAUUCUCAUGGGUUUGGAAAAACAAAUAUUGUUGAAAUGUUGAUCCGACCCAAAGCAAUCUACAUAUUCAAUGCAAUCCCUACCAAAGAACACCAGCAUUCUUCACAGAGCUAGAACAAACAAUCCUAAAAUUUGUAUGGAACCAGAAAAGACCCCAAAUAGCUAAAGUAAUGUUGAAAAAGAAAACCAAAGUGGGAGGCAUCACAAUUCCAGACUUCAAUCUAUAUUACAAAGCUGUAAUCAUCAAGGCAGUAUGGUACUGACACAGAAACAGACGCAUAGAAUAGAUCAAGGGAACAGAAGAGAAAACCCAGAAACGGACCCACAUACAUAUGGCUAACUAAUCUUUGACAAAGCAAGAAAGAAUACCCAAUGGAAAAGAGGCAGUCUCUUUAGCAAAUGGUGUUGGGUAAACUGGACAGUGACAUGCAGAAGAAUGAAUCUGGAGCACUUUCUUACACCAUACAUAAAAAUAAACUCAAAAUGGAUGAAAUACCUAAAUGUAAGAGGGGAAGCCAUCAAAAUCCUAGAGAAGAAAAUAGGCAACAACUUCUUUGAUCUCAGCCAUAGCAACUUCUUACUUGACGUAUCUUCAGAGGAAAGAGAAACUAAAGCAAAAAUGAACUAUGGGACUUCAUCAAGAUUAAAAGCUUCUGCACAGCAAACAAUCAGCACAAUUAAAAGGCAACCGACGAAAUGGGAGAAGAUAUUUGCAAAUGACAUAUGUGAUAAAGGGUUAGUAUCCAAAAUCUAUAAAGGACUUGUCAAACUCAACACCCAAAAAACAAAUAAUCCAGCGAAGAAAUGGGCAAAAGACAUAAAUAGACAUGUUUCCAAAGAAGACAUCCGGAUGGCUAAUGGACACAUGAAAAGAUGCUCAACAUCACUCAUCAUCAGGGAAAUACUAGUCAAAACCACCAUGAGAUACCACCUCAUAUCUGUCAGAAUGGCUAAAAUGAACAGCGUAUGUUGGUGAGCAUGUGGAGAAAGCGGAACCCUUUUGCACAGCUGGUGGAAGUGCAAGCUGGUGCAGCCACUCUGGAAAACAAUAUGGAGGUUCCUCAAAAAAUUAAAAAUAGAACUACCCUAUGACCCAGCAAUUGCAUUACUGGGUAUUUAUCUGAAGGAUACAAAACUGCUGAUUUGAAGGAGAACAUGCACCCCAACGUUUAUAGCAGUGCUAUCAACAUUAGCCAAAUUAUGUAAAGAGCCCAAAUGUCCAUCGACUGAUGAAUGGAUAAAGAAGUGGUAUAUAUACACAAUGGAAUAUUACUUGGCAAUCAAAAAGAAUGAAAUCUUAACAUUUGCAACAACGUGGAUGAAAUUAGGAUUGACGAUGCUAAGUGAAGUAAGUUAGGCAGAGAAAAACAAAUAUCAUAUUAUUUCACUCACAAGUGGAAUUUAAGAAACAAAACAGAUGAACAUAGGAGAAGGGAAGGAAAAAUAAGAUAAAAACAGAGAAGGAGACAAACCAUAAGAGACUCUUAAAUACAGAGAACAAGCUAAGGGUUGCUGGAGGUGUUGGGGGGGGAUGGGCUAAAUGAGUGAUGGGCAUGAAGGAGGGCACUUGUUGGGAUGAGCACUGGGUGUUCUGUGUAAGUGAUAAAUCACCAAAUUCUAUCCCCGAAAUCAUUAUUACACUAUAUGUUAACUAACUUGGAUUUAAAUAAAUAAAUAAAUAUUUAGGAAAAAAUGUAAUCCUUUCCCUUUUUAUUGUGAUCACGAAACUGAAGGAAACCACAAUACGUACCCCAAAAUAUUAAUUAACUUAAUUGAAUUACUACUGUCAGGGACCUCACAAAGCAAUGAGAACAUAAGCAAGAAGUCACUGUGACUUCUCCUUGCAUGCUGCAACACUGUUAUUGGGAAAUAAGAAAACUGGGUAAGUAACAGAAACAGUGUAAUGAGGUUUCUGUUGGGGAAGUAACAACUUUGGGAACACAAGCAUGUCGAGAAACUCAGAAAGUAUCUCCACGAAAGGCCAUGAUUAAAUGAAGACUAAGGAUGAGUUGACAAAACUCCUCUGUGGUUGCAGCUCUCUACACAUAAACCACACCCCCAGUUGAUCCACUCCUUCAGUCUCUCUCCAUCGUCUACGCCAGAAUUCAGGUCUAUGGAACCCCAGCUGCUGACGCGACUAUAAUCCCAAUUACUCCUAGACGGCUGCGCCCUGAAUGCUUCUCAAGUUGCUAAAAAAGCAAUGCAGCAGUCCCCCUGUAUCCACAGGGAACACGUUCUAAGAUCCCCAGUGGAUGCCUGCAACUGCAGAUAGUACUGGGCGCACACACACACACACACACCCCUACGACAGAGGUUAACUUAUAAAGUAUGCACAGCAAGAGAUAAGCAAUAACAAUAAGAAAAGAGAACAACUGGAACAACACGCUGUAAUAAAAGUUACGCUGAUGCGGUCUCUCUUUCAAUUGAUCUGCUUUUCUUAUACUCACCCUUCCUCAUGCGAUGGUUGAGACGAUAAAAUGCCUAUGUGAUGAGAUGAACUGAGGUGAAUGAUGUAGGCAGGCAGGGAGAUGUAGUGUUAGGCUACUGCUGACCUUCCGAUGUUAUGUCAGGACAAUCGUCUACUUCCAGACCACAGUUUACCAAGGGUCUCUGAAACCACAGAAUAAAGAGACCGUGUGUAAGUGGGCAACUCCUGCUAUCAUUUCCAGUGGACGUGAACACCACGGAGCUCUGGCUUGACUACUGCACAUUCUGGAACGCUUCCACCAGUCCGGAGGUAUCCAGUGGCCGGAAAUGUAUUUAGGAAGUAUCAGCAAUUGACUUAAACAGCUCACUGACUUCCUGCUGGGAGGAGCAGAAGACGGACGAUGAACUUAACGUCACUUUGAAUUCCCCACGCUGGUAGCAGAACUAUUGCUGGUAUUUUAUUUUUAUUUCCAUAGAGCUAUAAUGGAAGAACAACACAUUUUAACAUUUACUAUGAGCUUCACAUGCUGGCAAAGACUUUCAUGUUAUCUCAUUUGAACCUUGUCCCUAGGCAGUGAAACUGCUCUUCUUAUACUUACUGUUCAUAUGAAAACAUUCUGCUCAAGGGGCUUGGUCAUGGAUCAAGGUCACAGCCGGUUGAGAAAUGGAAUCCAUGCUUUAGAUAUAUGCCUCGGAACCUAGUUUGUGAAAGAACACCAGGUUAGGGCCACGCUUUGACUCAAAUUUCAUCUGUGAGUCAGUCACACACAGUUUAUCAACGUAAAGUCUUAGGGUUUUUGCUUUGUUCUGUUUUUUACUCUCCAGACAUCUGGAGAAAUUUACCCGUCUUCGUCAAAAAGUUCACAGGAAGAGUCUUAUAAUAAUGAAGGCAUGUCCACAGACCAGUCUCGAACAUGUGCUUUAUUUGAGACACAUUGCUAGUCUCUGAGGAUACAGACGUGAACUAGAUGGGAGUUCGUGCCUCUUGGAAACCCUGAGCUAUAACAGAUUGGAUGGCAAAAAGCAUCAUAUUCAGGGUGAAAUAAAGUUACUACUCACUGGAAAAAAAGAUUUAAUCCCUGAAUGAAAUGUAUUUGUAUGCAGCUAAUAACAUAGCCUUAAAGGAUAUAUAAUAAAAAUUUCAUGGAAUUACAAGAAGAAAUUGACAGAUACACCAACAAAGGAGGAGAAAUGGAAUAAGGGAAAAUUGCAGUGUCAAUUCCUAUUUGUUCUUUUGGGGAUCCAUCAGUCCCGUGUAGCUAACACUAUUAAGGAUUUUUAACAUUUUGUUUUUUAAAACUCAAUAGUAUAGAAACAGCCUUGACAUUGGGUGCUGAAUGCAUAAAGCGUUCAAGAAAUUAACUCUUUGUGAUUUAAUCUGGGAUAAAAACAGAAUUUUAAAGCCAAGAAAAGGUAAAAUAAAGAGUGCUAUUGGUUUAUAGGUAUAUUUAUUUAGCACCCUGUAAUUUAAGACAUAAACACCAAGAAUUAAAGUGCAAAAAGCACUUUUCAGUGUUUCUAAGUUUUUAACAUACAGAGGACAAAGUAAAGAGUUUCAGCACUUUUCAAAUUUUCCUAUAUAACUGUAAUGGACAAUGAGAGAAUUUUGAAUGUGUUAACACUUUUUAAAGGCCAGUCGCAGGCCAGUUUGUAAUUUUUCUCAUUGGUUAUCAAAAUAAUUUAAUAAAUGGAAGAGCGCAAAAAGAAUUUAUAUAUCUUAUCCCAUUGUGCAAUACGUGUUCCAUGAGGUUAAAUUUUUCCCAUAAAUACAAUGUCCAUGUGUGAGCCAUACAUAAUCCCAGUAGAAAGAAAAGAAAGCUCAAAAUAUACCAGACGCUAUAUUCAGUGUUGUCUGUACAUUUCCAAGUGUGAUGGGAUGAUUCUCUGCUAAGGCCUAUCUGAAGGUCAGAAGGGCUUUUUAUCUUUACAGGAAAUUCUAUUCUAAAAGGAAAUUCUACUUACAGGAAGUAAGUACAUGUGUUAUCUUUCUGUCACAUUGCUUUUGGGCCUCUCUUCUCUACAGCCUUCUCUCUUUGUGGGUGGUAGCAUGGUAAUAAGGAGAAGCACGGACUUUGGGGUUUGACUUCCCAAUUUCGAGCUUAACUCAUUCAAUGUCUCUGAUUCCAGCUUACUUUUGUGAAACUGACCAAAAAUCCCAGCUCAGGGAAGUCCCAGUUUAUGCCUGUUGUGCUACAGAACCCUCUGGUCAUUUUCACUUCUUAAAUGAAGAUGAUUAAGAUGAUAUUUAGAUGACAAACUAUAUGAUCACCAUACUUCUUCAUACAGUGGGAGUGACAGAGCUAGUCUUGUAGGCUAAUUAUGCAGAUUACAUGAAAGAGUUGACCUAAAAUACCUCACAGGUUUCCAGGAAGAGAAUACAAUAAAUGUUAGGUACUAAUAUGCACCCAGGCUCCCAAGUCUGCUGGAAUAGGGUUCUUCCUUAUCCUUCAGCUUUAAUCCUAUGCAGUCUACCCCUCUCAGAGGGCGAAGUAUUCAACAAACAGAAUGAUCCAAAAACAUUUUUUACCAGUUCUUCCAGGGUUUCAAACUGAACCAUGGCAGCUUGAGUCACAGAAGGUCUAAGUGGCUCCCUGCAGGUUCCCACUAACCUAGGGCCUCCCCCCCCACCAGUGCCAGCCAGCUCCAGUGACCAGGAUCUGGGCAGGGUCCCGGAAACCCAGGCGUCAUUUCAUCCAGGCACCUGCUGUCUCCAAUGGCCCCAAAGCCACUCCUGUGACUCCCCUGCAGGCUCCCAGGAAUCAUGAAACCAGCUCAUCCAGCACCUGCCUGAUCCAGAGGUCCCAGACACCAUCCACGGCUCCAGGCAGCUGCCAAGGCAAGGUUCCCUGCAGGCUCCCAAGAAUCUAGGCCUUCAUUGCAUCCAGGAAUCUGGCAGCCCCAGCAGCCCCAUGUGGCUCCAGCAGCCCCACGUGGAAUCCUUGACUCAGGCAGGGAAGCACCCGUGGCCCUAGGCAGCUCCCAUGACACCAGGUUCUACGACGCUCCCAUGAGAACAGACCCUGGUUCACUCUGGAACCUUCCAGUUCCAGUGACCCCAGGCAGGCUACACGCUCUAGGCAGCUUCACUGGCCCGGCCUCACAGAGGGCCCCUGGGAAAUGAGGCUCCUG